GACGAACGCUGGCGGCGUGCUUAACACAUGCAAGUCGAGCGGAAAGGCCACUUCGGUGGUACUCGAGCGGCGAACGGGUGAGUAACACGUGAGUAAUCUGCCCCUCACUUUGGGAUAGCCACCGGAAACGGUGAUUAAUACCGGCUAUGACCAUAUGUCGCAUGGCGUGUGGUGGAAAGUUUUUCGGUGAGGGAUGUGCUCGCGGCCUAUCAGCUUGAUGGUGAGGUAAUGGCUCACCAUGGCUUCGACGGGUAGCCGGCCUGAGAGGGUGUCCGGUCACACUGGGACUGAGACACGGCCCAGACUCCUACGGGAGGCAGCAGUGGGGAAUAUUGGACAAUGGGCGGAAGCCUGAUCCAGCAACGCCGCGUGAGGGAUGACGGCCUUCGGGUUGUAAACCUCUUUCAGUACCGACGAAGCGCAAGUGACGGUAGGUACAGAAGAAGCACCGGCCAACUACGUG
rnacentral:rRNA from 1 species